UGUGGGUGAUCCUACCCGCGCUCUGCCAGGGUCUUUCUAGUUCCAUUUCUGCCUGAUUUUCAAUAAGAUUAUAUUCUCAGGAGGACUAGAAAAGGAGGAGGAGGAAGAGGAAAAAGAGGAGGAGGACACAGCUGGGAGAACAAGAAAUUAUUUAAAUGAUGUGUGUAUCUGCGCACGUUAGUACAGGUGUCAGUGGAGACCAGAAGAGCACACUGGAUCUCUUGGAGCAGGAGUUACAGGUGGUUGUGAAUGUUGAAUUCAGCUGGGGUCCUUUGGAAGAACAGAGCAUGCUCCUGGCUACCGAGUCAUCUUUCUACCCC
rnacentral:lncRNA from 1 species